UACGGAGGGGGCUAGCGUUGCUCGGAAUCACUGGGCGUAAAGGGUGCGUAGGCGGGUAUUUAAGUCAGGGGGGAAAUCCUGGAGCUCAACUCCAGAACUGCCUUUGAUACUGAGGAUCUUGAGUACGGGAGAGGUGAGUGGAACUGCGAGUGUAGAGGUGAAAUUCGUAGAUAUUCGCAAGAACACCAGUGGCGAAGGCGGCUCACUGGCCCGUAACUGACGCUGAGGCACGAAAGCGUGGGGAGCAAACAGG
rnacentral:rRNA from 1 species